rnacentral:rRNA from 1 species
UACGAAGGGGGGCUAGCGUUGUUCGGAAUUAUUGGGCGUAAAGCGCGUGUAGGCGGCUUUGCAAGUCGGGUGUGAAAUCCCACGGCUCAACCGUGGAAGUGCAUUCGAAACUGCAGGGCUAGAGUCCUGGAGAGGAAGGUGGAAUGCUUGGUGUAGAGGUGAAAUUCGUAGAUAUCAAGCGGAACACCGGGUGGCGAAGGCGGCCUUCUGGACAGUGACUGGACGCUGAGACGCGAAAGCGUGGGGAGCAAACAGGAGUUAGAUGACCCAUGAGUUCCCAGA